rnacentral:rRNA from 1 species
GGAACCUGAUGCAGCCAUGCCGCGUGUGUGAAGAAGGCCUUCGGGUUGUAAAGCACUUUCAGUUGUGAGGAAAGGUUGGUAGUUAAUACCUGCCAGCUGUGACGUUAACAACAGAAGAAGCACCGGCUAACUCCGUGCCAGCAGCCGCGGUAAU